rnacentral:tRNA from 1 species
UCCCUGGUGGCUCAGACAGUAAAGCAUCUGCUUGCAAUGCGGGAGACCUGGGUUCGAUUCCUGGGUUGGGAA